GGUUCGAUUAUGGCUCAGAUUGAACGCUGCGGAUGUUUUACACAUGCAAGUCGAACGGCAGCACGGACUUCGGUCUGGUGGCGAGUGGCGAACGGGUGAGUAAUGUAUCGGAACGCCUAGUAGCGGGGAUAACUACGCGAGCGUAGCCAAUACCGCAUACGCUCCCUUCGGGAAAGCGGGACCUUCGGGCCUCGCACUAUUAGAGCGGCCGAUAUCGGAUUAGCUAGUUGUGGGUAACGGCUCACCAAGGCGACGAUCCGUAGCCGGUUUGAGAGGACGACCAGCCACACGGACUGGAGGACACGGCCCAGACUACGGAGGCGGCAGUGGGAAUUUUGGACAAUGGGGAAACUCUGAUCCAGCCAUCUCCGCGUGCGAUGAAGGCCUUCUCGGGUUGUAAAGCACUUUUGGCAGGAAAGAAACGGCACGGAUAAUACCGUGCAACUGACGGUACCUCGCAGAAUAAGCACCGCUAACUACGUGCCAGCAGCCGCGGUAAUACGUAGGGUAAGCGUUAAUCGGAAUUUCACGGCGAAAGCGUGCAGGCGGUUCGAAAGAAAGAUGAAAUCCCAGAGCUUAACUUUGGAACUGCAUUUUCAAUCACCGAGCGAGUGUCAGAGUGGUGCGGAAUCGGCGUGUAGCAGUGAAUGCGGUAGAUAUGGAGGAACACCGAUGGCGAAGGCAGCUUCCUGGGAUAACACUGACGCUCAUGCACGAAAGCGUGGGGAGCAACAGGAUUAGAUACCCUGGUAGUCCACGCCCUAAACGAUGUCAACUAUUGUUGCCUCGGGCUCAGUAGCGCAGCUAACGCGUGAAGCUGACCGCCUGGGGAGCAUGUCGCAAGAUUAAACUCAAAGGAAUUGACGGGGGACUCGCACAAGCGGUGGAUGAUGUGGAUUAAUUCGAUGCAACGCGAAAACCUACUCUACCCUUGACAUGUCUGAAUCCCGAAGAGAUUUGGGAGUACCGCAAGAGAACCGGAACACAGGUGUUGCAUGGCUGUCGUCAGCUCUCGUGUCGUGAGAUGUUGGGUUAAGUCCCGCAACGAGCGCAACCCUUGUCAUUAGUUGCUACGAAAGGGCACUCUAAUGAGACUGCCGGUGACAAACUGGAGGAAGGUGGGGAUGACGUCAAGUCCUCAUGGCCCUUAUGGGUAGGGCUUUCACACGUCAUACAAUGGUCGGGACAGUGGUCGCCAACCCGCGAGGGGGAGCCAAUCCCAGAAACCUGAUCGUAGUCCGGAUCGCAGUCUGCAACUCGACUGCGUGAAGUCGGAAUCGCUAGUAAUCGCGGAUCGUUAUUGCCGUGAAUACGUUCCCGGGUCUUGCAGGCACACCGCCCGUCACACCAUGGGAGUGGGUUUUACCAGGUACAGUUAUAGCCUAACCGUAAGGAGGGCGAUUACCACGGUAGAUUCAUGAUUUCUGGGUGAAGUCGUAACAAGGUAA
rnacentral:rRNA from 1 species